GAUGAACGCUGGCGGCGUGCCUAAUACAUGCAAGUCGAGCGAACAGACGAGGAGCUUACUCCUUUGACGUUAGCGGCGGACGGGUGAGUAACACGUGGGUAACCUACCUAUAAGACUGGGAUAACUUCGGGAAACCGGAGCUAAUACCGGAUAAUAUUUCGAACCGCAUGGUUCGAUAGUGAAAGAUGGCUUUGCUAUCACUUAUAGAUGGACCUGCGCCGUAUUAGCUAGUUGGUAAGGUAACGGCUUACCAAGGCAACGAUACGUAGCCGACCUGAGAGGGUGAUCGGCCACACUGGAACUGAGACACGGUCCAGACUCCUACGGGAGGCAGCAGUAGGGAAUCUUCCGCAAUGGGCGAAAGCCUGACGGAGCAACGCCGCGUGAGUGAUGAAGGUCUUCGGAUCGUAAAACUCUGUUAUUAGGGAAGAACAAACGUGUAAGUAACUGUGCACGUCUUGACGGUACCUAAUCAGAAAGCCACGGCUAACUACGUG
rnacentral:rRNA from 1 species